CUCAACCAUGCUGUAGCACUUCUACAUCUCUCACCUGGUCUGCAGCAGCAGAAUUGAUGACAGGAAUCCAGGAUGCAGAGGCAGCAUGCAUGAACCUCACGGCGGGGAGGCUGUGGGAGGGGAUGCGAGCCAACGGAUGGCUUCAAUUCGCCAAUUAAAGCUUCCAUUGUUCAACAAGUAAAGUGGCGUGGGAGAUUGAAACAUCAAGACCCCUGGAUAAAGGCGAUUGGCGCACUGCUCCUCCCACAGUCAUCCAACAUGGCCGUGCUCCGUUUUCGCUGUUAAUAAAAUCCUACCG